GAAUGGCUAAACUGAUUUUGGUGUUAGAAUUAUUUAUACUGAGUAUUCAGCCUUGAGAGGCUAGGUUGCGAUAAAUUGCCAUGUCAUGCUAGAAUAAAUUUUAUUGAUUGGUGGAGUAUAUAUUAAUUAUUUACUGCAGAGGGGGUUCAGUGGACCAGCCUAUUAGAGGGGCACGGUAAACUCCAUUAUAUUCUUACCUCGAAUGGAGAGGCGCGUAGGGUAUCUCCUGCGGUAAAGCUUAGGGUUCACUUCACG
rnacentral:lncRNA from 1 species